CGAAGGGGGCCGGGCUCCGCGCCCCGGGGUCCCGAGGAGCCGGGUGCCCCCGGGGCGCCGCGAGAGGGCGCUGCUGCCGGCGCGGCGGGGACGGGACGGCGGGACGCGGACGCCCGCGGGGCAGGGCAGGGCGGCCCGGCGCUUGCCUCCGGGCUGGGGCGCGGGGCGCGGGAGGCUGCACCCGGGAAGCCCACGCCUCUCCCGUGCGCGCCCGGGCCGCCCGCUACUUACCCAGGGAGCAGGAAGUCGACAGGACCAAGUGCUCCUGGCUUACCCGACGUUAAACCAUGACCUCUUGAGGUCACAUCCAUGUUGUCAUGCAUACGUCCUCAUAUGCUGUGGUGCCCACUAUGUGCCUGGAACUGUGCUAAGCACCCUACUAAUAUGAGUAUCUUCCACCUGGACAUGGAACAUUCACCCACUCACUAAAUACUCGGAGACCAGUGCCAGGCCUGGGAAUACAAGUAAGAUGUGGGGGAGACAGAAGCAGGUGCUGAAGAAGUGUUUGUUGGCCUGAACCCUGUAAGUGUGAAUGCCCCUAGGGGUUUAGCCUCAAAUGUAUUAGGACAGUAUUGUCAUUUGUCCUUGCAACAGCUACUGCAAAUUUUUUAAAAAGGAAGUCUGGAGACAAUGGGCUUUCUCUCCCUGGUUUAUACUGACUUCCUAAAACUGGAAACUAAAUAUUUUGUGUGUUAUCCAUUUGUUGUGAAUGCAAACAGUGCCAUUUUGUUCCAUUCAGCCAGGGUUCGUGGCUACGUGUCAAUCCCUCUUCUAUGGGAGGGAAGAGAAACAUAAAACUCGACGUAAAACAUAAAGAGAAAAGAAACUUUCUUUCAUUUUCAGUGAGGUUUUUCAAGUUUAUGGUUGACUGUGUUGAUCCCUUUUAACUUCCUUCUAAAACUUUCCUGCCUGGUUAAGAAUUCUAGAAGGUUUCCAAUUUCCAAAGCUGUUUAGCUUUCUUCCAAGAAAAUAUUCCUCACAUAUAUUAAAUAUGAAACAUUAAACCAAGGUGUGUUUAAAUAGACACAGCAGCCUCGUAAUUAGCAGCUUGCUUACCAGAUAUGUGUUCGAAUACCUACUGCACAUUGGGUAGCAAGCAACUCUAGGAGCUUAAUCAAUGUUUUCAUCAAAAUUCCUCAUGUUAGAGCAGUAGUGUGUGCUGGAACAGGUGUGGGAAGUGGAGCCCUAAAGACGGCAGAGCACACUGUGUUUCAGUAGUAAACCUGCCCUGGCCUCCUUUCUUUCCACAGGACACAGAGAUAAAUGGCACAUUACAAAGCUCCAUAACUCACAUUUUAAAGAGGAUUACCUUUCACUUACUCUAUCAUAUGAUAAAUGGACUUGCUGGGAGUUCUCCCUCCCAAUCACAGGUUGAGAUUUUCCUGGAACAAAGCGCACUCACGAGGAUGCUCACUAAUUCCUGGCGAGGCGCUGCUUGCCUCAGUGCCACUUUUGCCAUCUGAAACACCAACUAAGGGGACAGCUUUCAAUACAAAAAAAUAAAUCUCAUAAACUCUAAGACUGUGAUAUGAAGAAGGAGCAAGCCAUAGCUCUCUCUUCCUAGGGUUCACUCACCUUACGUCCAGAUGCCACUCUCGUCCUGGCCCCUGCACGUGUGCCCUCCCCUGGGGCAGGAGUGGAGCAAGGAGUCACCUCUUCUGGUGCAUUAUGAAUUAUUGCAACAUGAUUAAAACAAGCUGGUAAAUUUUAAAAGUCUUUUCUAAAGACUAAAGGAGAACAUUAAGACAUAUGCAUAAAACCAUAGAUAGCCAAAUAAUCGAAUGAAUAAGUUCCAAACAGAUGGUUUCUGAUCUUACAAUAACUAUACGUUCCGCCCAAAAGGCUAGACUGCAUUCGUUCAUUCCCCUGAUAGUGAACGCCUGAUAGCUGGCACGCCCACUGCUAGGCUUUGGGGCAGACACAAAGAAGCAUAAAACGUGGCACUGGGCACAAGAGUUCACUGUCCAGUUAGGGAGACAAAAACAUUCAGAAGUAAUUUUACUGCCAUGGGAUAAAUGCUAUCUAGCACAGGGAGAUGGGAACACUUUGGAACAUAGGUGAAAACAAACUCUAUCAUGACCAUGGGAGUUGGUCAGAAAGGGGGAAGUGACUUUUGUGCAGGGUCUUAAAGGAGAAACAGGAGGUUCCUGGGCUGAGAAAAAGAGGAAAGACACCCCAGGCCAAGGCAGCAUGCACAAGGCACAGCAGCCCACAGAGUGUGGCAGAUGAGGAGCGGCGGUGAGGUGGCACAGGCUUCUCCACCCCCCCAGCCUGCUGCCUCCCUCAGUGACCUAGAAGAGGCUUUCUGGGCAUCCUAUUCCUGACCAGCAGAAGCCAAGGGACAAUUCCACUCUGCAUUGUCUCGAGGCCCUCUCACAUGGUUUCAAGAGGGCCAUUCUUGGGGCUACCCCAUGGCCAGUGGUUACCUCUGGCGCACUUCACUUCAGUGGCCCAGGCCCAGUUCCCAGGUGCAGACCUACACCACUCCAUGGCAGCCAUGCUGUGGCAGCAACCCACAUACUAAAUAGAGGAAGAUCAGCACAGGUGUUUGCUCAGUGACAGUCUUCCUCAGCAAAAAAAGAAAGAAAAGAAGGCCAUUCUCUUUGCACACAGAGAAAUGGUCUUAUGAAUUAUGAAUGCCCUUAGGGAUUACUUUCCAAACCUGAAACUAGGGCUAGGGUCUGCCAGCAGACUAGAAUGUCUAAAACUGGGUCUCUAGGAUAUAAGGUCAUUGUGAUCACGAGACCUACGAUUUAAAUGUCUGCUAACGACACCCCACACCCCUGGAAUCAGGGCACACCUGGUAACAGGAGAGCAGCCAUUCACUUCACUUGAUGCUUUAACCUUUAGGGAAGCAAGAGAGUCUUUAUCCCCCAUGGGAGAAGAGUGAAACGGGAGGAAAAGAGACAGCAAAAGCCUUCAUCGCUCAGAGUAGAUUCAGGGCCACUGCCUCCCGCUGCAGCAGUGCUCAGGAAGAACGCCGAGGACAGAAACAAGGCGGUCUCUCCAACACCCUAGAGGAGCUGGUCUCACCGUGCUUCCAAAGCUAUUCAAAAAUUAUAGGUGAAAUUGUUCCAGUAAAUCAGACUCCAACCAAGAGUUUUACCCAAAGAGACUUAACCACGGGGUCUUACAGACUAACAGAACCCUUUGCCAUUCGAUUUUCUGUCCUUUUGAAGACAUAGAGUGGUAUAAAGUCUUCUCUGUAAAAAAGAGCUAUCUCCUAGAAACUUCUGAUCACAAAUAGAUUAUCCACUGGGCUGUUUUGUUCUCCCUCCUAGAAUCACAUAUCCUUCAGUUCUCAGGAAAGAUCAGGAGUUGCUACUAACAGGCGUAUCAACAGGAGCACCAGGAGGUGUCUACAUUUGACUUUUAUUAGGAAUAAAAGGCGUGGGCCAUGACUGUCCAGCAGCCUACACGAAAUGUGUUGGUGUUUUUGGUGCUAUUGCUAAUAAGUAGUUUUUCAUUUUACAACAGCUGCUUUCAGAUGUAGGAUCCUAGUUAACAAGCUAAACAAAAUGAGUAAAAAACUUUCAUUUAUCCAUCAACAAACAUGUCACAGAGUAACUGCAGGUGUGAGGCCCUCACGCGGCCUCCUGAGGUUGAGAAGAGAGAUGCAUUUUCCUGGAACAAUCACAGUCUAGUUGAGAGGAACAGGAUGCACAUAAAUAGCCACGAGCCCGGGUGGAAGACGGCAAGUACUUGAAGAAGCGUUUUAACUAAGUAUGACAGCAGUGCAGGGAGAAGGAAAGCACCUCCACGUGGGGGCCUCGAGAAGGCCUCAGGCCCGGGGCAGUUGAACUGGGGGUUAAGGAGCACACAGACUCUCGGCAAAUAGAGAAGGAGAGCCGGGCAAGCAGUGACAUGGAAGCCAGGAGCUGUGCAUUCAGAGACUGAUGAGGAGUUCAGUCUGGCCAGUUUGGGCCACUUUGAGGAGGACCUUGAAUGCCAUACCUAGGAGACUGACCUUCCACUGAGUGUGGCAGUGAGGGCAGUGGAGACAUGGGAAAGACAUUUCAGCAGGUGGUGACAAAAAUCUCCACUAGGAAACUGUAGCUGCCAAGGCCUGUCUUGUGUCCUAAGUCUGCAACCCCGUCAGAGGGCCCAGUACACAGUUGAUGUGUGUUGGGUUCUGAUUUAAUGAAGGAGCUAUGUUGUGAGCAAAUUAAUUCUGGAUGGAUUGGAAAAGGGAUGGAAGACAAGAAAGUGGGUUUAAAAAAAAAACCAUGAGAAAAGAAAAAAGAAAGGAAACUAACACGUGCUGAGCACAUGCUAUAGAUAGGCACUCUGCCUGUUUCUUUCCAAUAUACUGUUUCAUUUAACCCUCAAAAAAAGUAUGAAAAGACUGUUCUUAUGACUAAUUUACAGAUUAGUAAACUGUACCUCAGGCAAGUCAAACACCAACAGCUAGAGCUGCUUAAAUGGCAGUUUCUUUCCAUGAAAUCAUGUUUGGUUUUUCUCAAAUGUUCUAGCAGCUUUUUUUUUUUUUGUAUACUUUUUGGUGAGAAAGAUUGGCCCUCAGCUGACAUCUGUUGCCAAUCUUCCUCUUUUUUUUCUUCUUUUUCACCCCAGCCCCAGAUCAUAGUUGAAGUCCUUCUAGUUCUUCUGUGUGGGAUGCCACCACAGCAUGGCUUGAUAAACGAUGUGUAGGUCCAUGCCCAAGAUCCAAACCAGUCAACCCAGGGCCGCUGAAGCAGAGCGCACAAACUUAACCGCUACGCCACUGGGCCGGCCCCUGAAAUCAUGUUCUUUAACUACAGUCACAGCAGCAGGAAUAGCAGAGAAGGGACCACUGUGAAGGCAUGACAGAGAUUGAUCAAUAGUACUUAUGAGUGAGUGGAUAUUGGUUGGAGCCAAGAGAGAGACCUCAGGAGACAGAUGGAACAAUUAACUAGAAUGGAGAUCUGCCAGAGGAAUGAGUUUGUGGAGAAAAAUGAAACAUUAUUAUCUUUACUACUAUUAUAAAUAGCUAUACCUACACAGUAUCAAUAAUGAACAGUAAUCGCUAACAUUUAAUAAACAUUUAUUAUCUAGCAGGCACUACACUGAGUGCUUUACAUGCAUUAUUUCUUGUUAAAUAAUAUUUCAUGUAAUUCUCCAAACAGCCUUAUUCCUAUUUCAGAGAGGUUAAGUACCUUGCCUAAGGACAGCGAUUCUUACAGUGUGGUCCAUGAUCCUCCUAGGGGUCCCUGAGACUCUUUCAGGAUGCCCAAGUUCACAAAGUCAAAACAAUUUUUAUAACAAUACUAAAAUACCUGCUUUUUUCUGUGUUGAAUUUCCACCAAUGGUGCAAAAGCCACCGUGGGUAAAAGUGUGCUUGCAUUAGCACUGAUCAAGGCAGGGGCAACAAACUACCCCUGCGGUGGAAACCACAGCACAGAGGGCUCUUCAAGAAGUUUUAAGAGUAUAAAGGGGUUCUGAGACCAAGAAUUUUGAAGACUGCCAGUUUAGGACAUAUAACUUGUAAAUUGUGGGAGCCAGUACUCAAACCCUGGUCAAUCUGAUUCCAAAACCCUUUCUCUUACCCUGAAUUACUCCCUGUUUAGUUUUAGAUUUAUUAUAUUUGAGGUGCCAAAUUUCCAAGAAUCCCACUUUGCCUCUCAGUCAUCUAAUUAAACCCUAAUCAUUAGGGAUUUAAGAUAAUAAUAAGUGUCAGUUAGAUGGGCAAAGUUACGCUAUGGGAACAAACAACCCGAAAAUUUCAGUGGCUUAAACUUACAAAGGCUUUCUGGGUCAUGCCAAGUCUGUUGCUGGCCCGGGCGACCCUCCAGGCCAGCUGUUCUCCAUUGUCAGUGAUCUGCAGUCUGGCUGCCAUCUCAGCUCAGGUUCUCCUCCACAAUCAUUGUUGGAGGGGAAGAGCGUGGUAGAGAGCCAAGCACCAUCCGUCAAAUGCUUCCAGCGACAGGGACACAAGUCAUCUCUGCUCGGGUUUCAUUGCAGGAUGGGGAAGGUACAGUCCCCCUAGCCCAGAUAGGGGAAGGCUGGAUACUGCUGAGCCCAUCUACCCUUCCUCUGCGCCUCCAUCCUGAAACACCCUGUCCUCUGCUCUGAAGAGAUCUGUGCUCGAUGCUAGGGGGCAUGAAUAAGGUUGAGAACUUAGCCUCUGCCCUACAAGAACUCGCAAAAUAUCUGCAAAGAAAAGAGGAAACUACAAACAUGUCGCCUUAUCUUUGUACAGCUCUUCACUGUUUACCAAGUCACCACACAAUAUUCACUGGACAGGGCAGUUAGAGGAGAAGUCCAGAUGAAUCGAAGAGUCUUGAGUGUUCUUGGGAGAAAGAAAACUCUGGCUUGGAAAAUCAAGAAUGGGUUCAGGGAGAAGGUGAGAUUAGGAGAGAGGUCAUGAAAUGAGGGAAGGACCCAAAGUAGUAGAAAUGGAACAGGGAUGAAAAAACGAAGGAAAACAAAAUCUGUGAAGGAAGAGAUUUUUGCAGAAGGCAAAUAGACCAGUGUGGCUACAGUUUAUCAUGUGGGAAACUGUAUUGCUAACACACAAAGACGACAUCAUGAGUAAGAAGACAGGAGAGGUGUCUAGAGAGGACAGUAGCAAGUCCGGGAGUGGAGCGCAGGCCCUGGUCAGGGCUCAGGUCCCUGGUAGGAGAGAGUGCAGCUGGCCAGGCCUUUGGGAAAAGAGGCCACGGGGCCCUGAGGACGUCUUAUUAAUGGAUCAGAGAAAUGUUAGGCUUAGAGAUAUAGACAUUGCUUAUUUUAAUUGAAGAAACUAGAACCAACACGUGAUUUAUGUCUUUUUUUCUAAAAAUGUAUCUCCUUUGUAAUUUCCCAACUUCAAUAACAAUAAAAUAGCUGUGGCAUGAUAAGGUCUUACACAAAUGAAAAUACAAUUUUCAGAGAUAGCAUUCUACCAGCUUUAAGUGGAUGUUGGAAUAUCUUGCUUAAAUUAAAUUGUCGUGUUCUUUGUCAAGUAGGCAAGUCCUGUUUUUGUGUUUCCCUGCUUUGUACACCGACAGCCGCUUUUGGAGGGACACAGAGAAAAGAGAGGAAAGAAGCAAACACCAAAUUUUAGAUGCAUGUUAUGCCUCUGCUCAGGGAAGCUGCUGUGACUCAUUGAAGAACUUGGGGGUUGACUGAGAAUAGAGAAACUAAAGUGGGGUAGCGGUAAUGGAAGAGAAGAGAUUGCAAGGAGGAGCACCGCAGGCAUAGAAUUUAAAGGACUUCCGAAUGAUUGGAAUCAGCAUAUUCUUUCUGUGAUCCCCACAAGGUAACAUCCCUUAGUCUGUUUAAAUGUUUGAGGUUAAAUCAUAAAAUAUAUAAUGCUAGCACAGAGUAAGGAAGUUGAGGCAAGAUGGUUGAGGCCUUGAAUGGCAGGCUUACAAGGAUGUCCCUUCUCUGAUAGUCAGUAGGGAACCAUUGUGUUGUUGACAGGCUGACACUCAUCAAAGAAGUCCAUUAAGAAGACACUGGUGGCAGAGUCCAAGACACACUGGGGGAUUGGUGACCGGCAUGUGAGUCCUUUUGCCAGGAGCCGCUCGCGCCAAUAGAAGAGACCAGGUUUGGAAAAGCAGAGCAGAAACGUUACUCGUCGAUCAACAAACGGAGGAGGCAAAACUCGUGCUCUAAAACACCUCUCUGAAGGGAAGGAGGUCGAAGGGACACAUCUUCUCCACUGCUUUACUCCUUUCUCCUAACAUACCUUAAACCUUAUGUUUGCUGAUGUAGAAAGCAUUUGGAAGGCAUGUGCAAUUAUUUUGGAGUGCCUCAUCAUUCAGAAUUGGCAAGAAUACCCUUUUCGCUGUUUCUCCUUUAUGUUGGGGAAUUAAAUAAAGUAACUUUAAUUUGCAUGA